rnacentral:rRNA from 1 species
AUUGAACGCUGGCGGCAUGCUUUACACAUGCAAGUCGAACGGUAACAGGCCGCAAGGUGCUGACGAGUGGCGAACGGGUGAGUAAUGCAUCGGAACGUGCCCAGUCGUGGGGGAUAACGCAGCGAAAGCUGCGCUAAUACCGCACACGAUCUAUGGAUGAAAGCGGGGGACCGUAAGGCCUCGCGCGAUUGGAGCGGUCGAUGUCAGAUUAGGUAGUUGGUGGGGUAAAGGCUCACCAAGCUAACGAUCUGUAGCUGGUCUGAGAGGACGACCAGCCACACUGGGACUGAGACACGGCCCAGACUCCUACGGGAGGCAGCAGUGGGGAAUUUUGGACAAUGGGCGCAAGCCUGAUCCAGCAAUGCCGCGUGCAGGAAGAAGGCCUUCGGGUUGUAAACUGCUUUUGUACGGAACGAAACGGCUCUGGUUAAUACCUGGGGCUAAUGACGGUACCGUAAGAAUAAGCACCGGCUAACUACGUGCCAGCCGCCGCCGUAA